UACGUAGGGUGCAAGCGUUAAUCGGAAUUACUGGGCGUAAAGCGUGCGCAGGCGGUUAUGCAAGUCAGAUGUGAAAUCCCCGGGCUCAACCUGGGAACUGCAUUUGUGACUGCAUGGCUAGAGUGCGGCAGAGGGGGAUGGAAUUCCGCGUGUAGCAGUGAAAUGCGUAGAUAUGCGGAGGAACACCGAUGGCGAAGGCAAUCCCCUGGGCCUGCACUGACGCUCAUGCACGAAAGCGUGGGGAGCAAACAGG
rnacentral:rRNA from 1 species